rnacentral:rRNA from 1 species
UACGUAGGGGCCUAGCGUUGUCCGGAAUUAUUGGGCGUAAAGAGCUCGUAGGCGGUUCGGCAAGUCGGAUGUGAAAUCUCCACGCUUAACGUGGAGGGGUCAUUCGAAACUGCUGUGACUCGAGUCCGGUAGGGGAGUGUGGAAUUCCCGGUGUAGCGGUGAAAUGCGCAGAUAUCGGGAGGAACACCAGUAGCGAAGGCGGCACUCUGGGCCGGAACUGACGGCUGAGGAGCGAAAGCGUGGGGAGCGAACAGG